GCCAACGCCACUGAGGCUCACUGUUUGCGUUCUAAAUGAGACCGUUCAAAAAUUCAUUUAAAGGAGAAGAACCACAUUUACCCCAGGUAGAAGUCCUGUUGGAAGGUAUUUGUAAAAUGCAGAGCCACCUCUAUGGGGACACCCUCAGCUGGACUUCAUGUCUCACGGACACUGGUCAGCAACACAGAGCAGAACUCUGACCCCACGCAGCUGAUGGAAUAUUCUCCCUACCUCCUCCCCAAGGCCAUCUUUUCUCGAGGCGUCGGAAGACAUCCUAUCACCCCCCACCCCAGACUGGGGAGGCAGCGGGAUGGCAGGCCCCGUCUGUGAGGCACCCGGGCCUGGAAUCGGGAGCAGAGAGACCCCUGGGCACCCCGUGAGACAACAGCAAGACCAGAAGGGACUCCGCGUCCUGCCUCAAAGGCACGCCAGGCCAGCCGGCCCAGGGUCCGAAAUCUCUUCUAAAACGAAAACAAAAGGAGGGAAGAACACGGGACUUCAGGGCGGUGAAGCGGGCCUGUGUGAUGCCGUGACGGUGGACGUGCAGCGUCACGCCCUCAUCCGGACCCACAGAACGAGCAGCACCGAGCGAGCCCCACUGUCAGCCGUGGGCUCUGGGUGCCGAGGGCGCGUCAGUGCGGGCUCAAGUACCAUAGCAGGUGCACCUCUCUGGUGGGGAGGCUGACAGCAGGGGAGGCAGUGCGGGGGGCCCGGGGUGGGGGGUUAUAUGGGAGCCCUCCAAACCUCCCCCUCAAUUUUGCUGUGAACCUAGAACUGCCUGAAAAUUUUGUCUAUGUUUUAAGAAACUGAAACAAAAUGAAUACAUAGAGGCACAGGCAGGUGAUCCGUUCUGGCCAAGGAGACACAGAGACCUACUGGGGGCUUCGGGGAGAACACCUGUCCUCGAAGGGGAGCUCCUCUCGGAAUAUUGUGGUCUGCAUCUGAUGCUAACAGCGGCCGCUGUCUCAGCACCGUCGGCGGGGCAUCCUAACGUAAAACACAAGCCAACCGCAGGGUUGGGGAGCAGACAGGGGUGAACCUGGUCCUGUGGACGCUGCUGAGCCACAGAAGUGACCCGCUUCCUGCAAAACUGGGUUCUGGAAGAUCGUGUUUCCUGCUUGUGAGAGUGGUAAGUUUUUCCUAUGAAGCUGGUGCUGGCUGGGUUUUUCCUGUUGACGUAUCACCUCUUUUGGCACUGAAUAAAUCCGGCGAGUGUGCAGGUCUUUGGGGAUCU
rnacentral:lncRNA from 1 species